AGAGUUUGAUCCUGGCUCAGAAUGAACGCUGGCGGCGUGCUUUACACAUGCAAGUCGAGCGAGGCGGGGAGCAAUCCCCAGUCGAGCGGCGAACGGGUGAGUAACGCGUGGAUGACCUGCCCUUCAGCGGGGAAUAACCCGGGGAAACUCGGGCUAAUACCGCAUACGACCGAGAGGUGAAGGGGGCACGCAAGUGCUCUCACUGAAGGAGGGGUCCGCGUUCGAUUAGCUAGUUGGUAGGGUAAUGGCCUACCAAGGCGACGAUCGAUAGCCGGCCUGAGAGGGUGAUCGGCCACACUGGAACUGAGACACGGUCCAGACUCCUACGGGAGGCAGCAGUGGGGGAUUUUGCGCAAUGGGCUAACGCCUGACGCAGCAACGCCGCGUGGAGGAUGAAGGUCUUUGGAUUGUAAACUCCUGUCAGCAGGGAAAAAGGGAAGGGACCUAAUACGUCCUUGACUUGAUUGUACCUGCAGAGGAAGCCCCGGCUAACUCUGUGCCAGCAGCCGCGGUAAUACAGAGGGGGCAAGCGUUAUUCGGAAUUAUUGGGCGUAAAGGGCGCGUAGGCGGCCAUUCAAGUGACGGGUGAAAGCCCUCGGCUUAACCGAGGAACUGCCUGUCAGACUGGAUGGCUUGAGACCGGGAGAGGUGAGUGGAAUUCCCAGUGUAGCGGUGAAAUGCGUAGAUAUUGGGAGGAACACCAGUGGCGAAGGCGGCUCACUGGACCGGAACUGACGCUGAGGCGCGAAAGCGUGGGGAGCAAACAGGAUUAGAUACCCUGGUAGUCC
rnacentral:rRNA from 1 species